ensembl:snRNA U6 U6 spliceosomal RNA
GCUUGCUUAGGCAACACAUACACUAAAAUUGGGACGAUACAGAAUAGAUUAGCAUGAACUUUGCACAAGGAUGACCCACAAAUUCAUGAAAUAUUCCAUUUAAAA